UACGUAGGGGGCUAGCGUUGUCCGGAAUCAUUGGGCGUAAAGCGCGUGUAGGCGGCCCGGUAAGUCCGCUGUGAAAGUCGGGGGCUCAACCCUCGGAUGCCGGUGGAUACUGUCGGGCUCGAGUACGGAAGAGGCGAGUGGAAUUCCUGGUGUAGCGGUGAAAUGCGCAGAUAUCAGGAGGAACACCAGUGGCGAAGGCGGCUCACUGGCCCGGUAGCUGACGCUGAGGCACGAAAGCGUGGGGAGCAAACAGG
rnacentral:rRNA from 1 species